UUCUGCUGGUGAGACGAUGUGUUCACAGGAAACCUGAAGAUGGAAAAGAAGCUGAAGAAGAUGACAUCAUCACUUAUGUCAUGUACUGUGAUGUCAAAACUUCAAAAACAGCCAAUCAGACGACGCAGAGACAGAAAUUCAGCUGCAGUCGACUCAGCAGUGAAAACUGAAGAUGUCAGUUAUGAACAAACCAACAUCAGAACAAGGAGGCCCAGGUACAACUGCUCUUUAUCU